GUGGGGAAUUUUGGACAAUGGGCGCAAGCCUGAUCCAGCAAUGCCGCGUGCAGGAAGAAGGCCUUCGGGUUGUAAACUGCUUUUGUACGGAACGAAACGGUCCUGGCUAAUAUCCGGGGCUAAUGACGGUACCGUAAGAAUAAGCACCGGCUAACUACGUGCCAGCAGCCGCGGUAAUACGUAGGGUGCGAGCGUUAAUCGGAAUUACUGGGCGUAAAGCGUGCGCAGGCGGUGCUGUAAGACAGGCGUGAAAUCCCCGGGCUCAACCUGGGAAUUGCGCUUGUGACUGCAGUGCUGGAGUGCGGCAGAGGGGGAUGGAAUUCCGCGUGUAGCAGUGAAAUGCGUAGAUAUGCGGAGGAACACCGAUGGCGAAGGCAAUCCCCUGGGCCUGCACUGACGUUCAUACACGAAAGCGUGGGGAGCAAACAGGAUUAGAUACCCCAGUAGUCC
rnacentral:rRNA from 1 species